rnacentral:rRNA from 1 species
AUUAGAGGAAGUAAAAGUCGUAACAAGGUCUCCGUUGGUGAACCAGCGGAGGGAUCAUUACCGAGUUUACAACUCCCAAACCCAUGUGAACAUACCUACUGUUGCUUCGGCGGGAUUGCCCCGGGCGCCUCGUGUGCCCCGGAUCAGGCGCCCGCCUAGGAAACUUAAUUCUUGUUUUAUUUUGGAAUCUUCUGAGUAGUUUUUACAAAUAAAUAAAAACUUUCAACAACGGAUCUCUUGGUUCUGGCAUCGAUGAAGAACGCAGCGAAAUGCGAUAAGUAAUGUGAAUUGCAGAAUUCAGUGAAUCAUCGAAUCUUUGAACGCACAUUGCGCCCGCCAGUAUUCUGGCGGGCAUGCCUGUCUGAGCGUCAUUUCAACCCUCAUGCCCCUAGGGCGUGGUGUUGGGGAUCGGCCAAAGCCCGCGAGGGACGGCCGGCCCCUAAAUCUAGUGGCGGACCCGUCGUGGCCUCCUCUGCGAAGUAGUGAUAUUCCGCAUCGGAGAGCGACGAGCCCCUGCCGUUAAACCCCCAACUUUCCAAGGUUGACCUCAGAUCAGGUAGGAAUACCCGCUGAACUUAAGCAUAUCAAUAAGCGGAGGAA